AUGUCGGAGGGUGUUAAUGACACUUCUAUUGUGUUAAUACCCAAAGUUCCGCACCCCAAGGAGCUAAAGGAUUUCCGUCCAAUAAGUUUAUGUAAUGUGGUAUACAAGAUUGUGUAUAAGUGCAUGGUGAAUAGGCUGCGGCCUAUGCUUACUGAACUUACCUCAGAAAACCAAAGCGCCUUUAUCCCAGGGAGACUUAUAUCUGAUAAUUCUAUCAUUGCCUUCGAGUGUAUACACCAUAUUCAAUUAGUGAAGGAGAACUCCCCGGCUUUGUGUGCUUAUAAACUGGAUCUCUCGAAGGCCAACGAUCAUGUGGAAUGGGAUUUUCUUCAAAAGGCCUUGACAAAGUGGGGUUUCUCGGACAUCUGGGUCUCGAGGGUGAUGGCUUGUGUUACGUCUGUCAGAUACUCAGUGAAGUUUAAUGGCAGGUUACUGGAAUCAUUUUCCUCCUCGAGAGGCUUGCGGCAAGGUGACCCCUGUCCCCCUUUCUGUUCUUAUUUGUGGCUGAUGCCCUUUCUGCCUUGA
rnacentral:rRNA from 1 species